AUUAAACGCUGGCGGCAUGCCUUACACAUGCAAGUCGAACGGCAGCACGGGGGCAACCCUGGUGGCGAGUGGCGAACGGGUGAGUAAAGCAUCGGAACGUGCCCUGGAGUGGGGGAUAACGUAGCGAAAGUUACGCUAAUACCGCAUAUUCUGUGAGCAGGAAAGCAGGGGGAUCGCAAGACCUUGCGCUCUGGGAGCGGCCGAUGUCGGAUUAGCUAGUUGGUGGGGUAAAGGCCUACCAAGGCGACGAUCCGUAACUGGUCUGAGAGGACGAUCAGCCACACUGGGACUGAGACACGGCCCAGACUCCUACGGGAGGCAGCAGUGGGGAAUCUUGCGCAAUGGGCG
rnacentral:rRNA from 1 species